UUUAGUUCUUUCUCAAUUUUCAGCAAAAACAAACGCGGCAAACUUUCCUCCCCCUUUUCCCCCCGAAUCCCUCCCCCUUUUAUUUUCAUUUUGGCUUUCACCUUCUCCAAUUCAUUCAACCCUUCGACUCGUGCUUUGAGUUACGAGGUUCAAAUGAGCGACAACCUUAUCUUCCAGUGCUGCGGUUAUGGCUUGAAAUUGUUCUAAAUAAAGAUAGUGUGGUUCAUCCACAUCAGUAUUUAUAGCUCCAUUUCAGUUCUAAUCAAUGGUCCCAUGUCUUAUUCGGUAUAUUUAUGCCUUUUGGAAUUGGGAUAGAUGUAGAUUUUGGCAUCUGCUUUGUCUAUAUUUUUUGCGGUGUAAUGCUCUUAAAGAAUAGGUUAUUUCUGGCAUUGCGGAUGCAAGUCUCUCUUUGGCUGUGUUACUUUGAUUCCGACAUCUCACUCCUAGGAGGAAACCCAAGGAAGAAGGCUAUUGUUUCUGUUCUAACACUAUCCAUUACUGAUUGCAUCACUUUUUCCCUUAUGAUGGUCCAAUAUUUCUUGCACCCUAUAAUUAUGAUUAUGGCAUGACUGUCAUACAUGUUUCUAGUAGAGUUGUACCUGCUGUGUAAUUCCAAACGCACAACCAGUUAAGUUUAUUUGAGGAUUCUUGAUUUUGUCAAUGAAUUGGAAAAGCUAUGAAGGAGAUUAACAUUGAUGGAACCAUGUCAUAUAGUGAAUUGUAUGUUUCGUUUCCUCUACUUUGUUUUACAGCCUUCACAUUCUUGCUAUUAUUUAUACUUGUUGAUCUUAUAGUGUUAUAUUUUGGAAGAAGAGGACGAGGCAAGUCUACAAGUCAUGCUAAGUAACUUAAUCUUUCAUGAAAAAAAGUAAAUAUCUUGGAUGUAUGUACAAAAGAGUCUAUUUACUUGAAUCAAUCUUUGUAUUGUAUUUGAUUUUGACUAUAAUAUUGUAUUUUUGGGAAUAUUUAGUAGGUUUUGGUGCAGCAACUUUGUUUGGGAAAGUAUUCAGCUUUGAUGUGGUUUUUUGAAAGAUUUAUGUAACGACCCGACCGGUCGUUUUGAGCUCUAGCGCGUCAUUCAGCAGUUUGAGACCAUGAG